AUUGAACGCUAGCGGGAUGCUUUACACAUGCACGUCGAACGAGUGGCGGACGGGUGAGUAAUAUAUCGGAACGUGCCCAGUAGCGGGGGAUAACUACUCGAAACAGUGGCUAAUACCGCAUACCAUCGGAUCUGCCGCUAUCGGAUUCGCUAGUUGGUGGGGUAAAGGCUCACCAAGGCAACGAUCCCUAGCUGGUCUGAGAGGACGCCCAGCCACACUGAGACUGAGACACGGGCCAGACUCCUACGGGAGGCAGCAGUGGGGAAUGUUGCACAAUGGGGGAAACCCUGAUCCAGCCAUGCCGCGUGUAUGAGAAGGCCUUCGGGUUGUAAAGUACUUUUGGCGGGGAAGCGGUAUCUGCAGAAGAAGCACCGGCUAACUACGUGCCAGCAGCCGCGGUAAUAC
rnacentral:rRNA from 1 species